GCAAAAAUAAAAUUGUUCUCCCAAGUGCAGGAGAAUCGCACAAGUAGUAUAACUCGGAAGUCCGAGGUCGAUUCCUUAGGGAACGAUCUAUGGAUUAUUAGCUUAAUUUCAGAUUAAUUGAUUCAAUAAACUUGUGGAUUAAGAUGAUGGUUUGCAAAUAGAAAAUAAACCAGUAAAUAGAGAGUCGAAGUUUGGUUAGAUUAAGAUGGUGUAGGGAUCCAGAAUCUCCUUUAAUAAUAUCAAGUUCAUGCAAUAAAUUCUAUGAUUCUUUUGUUUUCUUUUAAAAAUUAUAAGCAGAUAAAAUUUAAUUAUUGAGUAUGUUCUUGAUAACAUGAAUUCUCUUUUUAAGCAUUCAACGUGCCUUAGAACGUCAACGAUGAAUCAAAUAAUUGAGGAAGACAUGUAUCAAUAAGCAUAAAUCAUAAAAGAAUUUUUAACAUAUAAGAAUCAUAACAUAAUUAAAAGAUAAAUCGUAUAAAGCAAAGGAUUAGAAUUUACAUCAUGAACUCGGUACACCAAAGGAUCCUCCUUCACCCAUCACCAAGGAUUUUAGCUCAUCAUCUUCCUCUCUCUUUCUCACUCUUUUUUUUUUAAUAACUGAAACAGGGCAUCCCCUGUUUCUUUCUACUUUUUUUUU
rnacentral:lncRNA from 1 species